UACGAAGGGGGCUAGCGUUGCUCGGAAUCACUGGGCGUAAAGGGUGCGUAGGCGGGUCUUUUAAGUCAGGGGUGAAAUCCUGGAGCUCAACUCCAGAACUGCCUUUGAUACUGAGGAUCUUGAGUUCGGGAGAGGUGAGUGGAACUGCGAGUGUAGAGGUGAAAUUCGUAGAUAUUCGCAAGAACACCGGUGGCGAAGGCGCCACUCUGGGCCGAAACUGAACGCUGAGGAGCGAAAGCGGAUGGGUAGCAAACGGAGGAAU
rnacentral:rRNA from 1 species